GGGGAUUUGGCUCAGCGGCAGAGCGCUUGCCUAGGAAGCACAAGGCCCUGGGUUCGGUCCCCAGCUCCG
rnacentral:tRNA from 1 species